GAUGAACGCUGGCGGCGUGCUUAACACAUGCAAGUCGAGCGAAGCGCUAAAGCGGAUUUCUUCGGAUUGAAGUUUUAGUGACUGAGCGGCGGACGGGUGAGUAACGCGUGGGUAACCUGCCUCAUACAGGGGGAUAACAGUUGGAAACGGCUGCUAAUACCGCAUAAGCGCACAGUACCGCAUGGUACGGUGUGAAAAACUCCGGUGGUAUGAGAUGGACCCGCGUCUGAUUAGGUAGUUGGUGGGGUAACGGCCUACCAAGCCGACGAUCAGUAGCCGACCUGAGAGGGUGACCGGCCACAUUGGGACUGAGACACGGCCCAAACUCCUACGGGAGGCAGCAGUGGGGAAUAUUGCACAAUGGGGGAAACCCUGAUGCAGCGACGCCGCGUGAGCGAAGAAGUAUUUCGGUAUGUAAAGCCCUAUCAGCAGGGAAGAAAAUGACGGUACCKAAWAGAG
rnacentral:rRNA from 1 species